rnacentral:lncRNA from 1 species
UAGGCUUCGUUUUCGCCUGGAGGGCCGAGGCGACGUCGUAUACUCAUGAAAACGGAUUUGAAGUAUCGUGGCACAUAACCGAAGACCUUUAAUUUUCGGAUCGUGAAUUCGAGGCCGUUCAGGUGGUCGCGCGAGAGAUCACGCCAAACCGGGUGCCGGAUGCCGCGGGAGGCCGAUUGCAAGUGUCGACAAGCAAUCGGAAUGCACUAACAGGUGGGUUGUGCUUACCGAAGCGACUAGGUCGCCCUCAUGUCGAAGAAAAAUAUGAUUUCCUAGUUGAUGCAUAUAAUGGGUUAAAUGCUAUAUGAUGCAUAUGAUGGGAAGAUUGGGUAAAUGCAUAUAAUGUGAGAAAUGUAUAUUACAUGAUAAUUGCAUAUGAAUAUAAUGCAUGCUAGUGGACAAUGAUGUUAAAUGUUAAAUGCAUGCUAGUGGACAAUGAUGUUAAAUGUUGAAUAUAAUGCAUGCUAGUGGCAAGUAAUAUGUUGAAUGUUAAAUGAAUGCAUGAACUAAAUGUUAAUGAAAUGCAUGGAAAUGAUGUUGUAGGAAUGCAUGGGAUAUAUUAUACUAGAGGACAUAUAAUUGGUUGUGCUAAAUGAUCUAUGCAAAUUGGAACAUAUGCAUGUUAACGUAUUUGUGGACUAUGUUGGGUAACAUAUGCUAAUUAACAUAUGCAUGUUGACUUGAGUUUAAAACUCUUGGAUGAUUAGAAAACUUGACAUUGGAAAUACAAUGUAGUAUUAAUAUAAUGAUAUGUUUGGUUUCCUACAAUGAGAUGAUAAAUGUGGAUAAGACCUAGGUAAAUGACAACCUAGAGAUUGGGUAAAAGUAAUGCAUCGAGAACACUUGAAUUAUGACGAGUGGCAUAUAUGAAUCUUAGUGUAGCUGAGACACUAGAUUGAUGAGUAUAGAAACCUAUUGGUUCUAUGUUGAUACUAUCCUUAGUUGAUAGGGUGCUCCCAAUUCUGAGAGAUUGGAUCGUGCUCACAUAGCCUGUCUGCGCUUGGAGGGGUCGCUCCCCACAAGCUGUGCACUCCGGAGGUUGGUCACUAGAGGGACAGUCAGUGUGCUGUCUGGACGGUCUGUGUGCUGUCCGCAGGCGGUCUCGGGGGACAGUUCAGUGAGACUUCUCCCCUAUGAGACUUUGAGAUGUGAGAUUGAGGGCGACCCCCUUCGGGUUAGCCAAGUGAUUGGGUAACAAGCUUAUGAGCUAUAGUGAUUGUCCUACUUGAGGGGAUUUAAGGCCGAGGUGCAAGUGAGAUGUCCUUCGCCUCGUGCCUGGCUUUGUGCGGUACUCCGCAGAUGAUUGACUCAAGACCGAGUCGGGCGGCUAGCUUUGUAAAGGUAGAUGAAACCUUAUGAUUAAAAUGGUACAUGACAGAAAACCUUAAAUGUCAAUUGGAUGAAAGUAGUAAUCGAUUGAAUUACUAGUUGGUUGUAUAGUUGCAUUAUUGCAUGAUCUUCAUAUUGCAUAUCGCGAGGCAAUGCAUGGUAUUGUUAGUUGCAUGAUCUUAUUAUCAUAUCUAUCUGUUUAUUGAACUAACCUGCAGCUUGCCUCCUUCGGACAUGUCGGUCGAGCUUUUCCCUUGGGUGGCCGUACCCACUGGGAACUAUGGAGUUAGUUCUCACCCCACGUUGCUUUUGGGGUGUUACAGGUUUGCACGAGUGCGGCGCGGUGGCGCGAGGCGAGGGCGUAGCUCCGUAGUUAGCGCCCUACCACAGAGACCAGAGCUAGCAGUACCCCGUCGACAUAGCUUAGAGGUAUAGAAAAUGGAAAGAACACAAUGUAUCAAAUUGUAAUGAGUAAAUGAUGUAAUAACUUAGAUUGCAUUGGGAUGAAAAGGAAUAGUAAUUGGGAUGUAAAAAGUAUGAAUGUGAAUGCUUGUAAUAACUUAGGAUGUGUUUAUGUUGUUUGAUAUCUUCCUUAUGCAAUCGUUGUAUGUUGAAUACUGUUCCUGUUUGGAACCUGUUGUAAUUGUAUUGAUUGCGAUGCCUUGAACGUACAGGGGAGACUCUGUUCGCGGUACAGGGGAAUCCCCGGUCCGUUCGGCGCUGUCGGCGCCGCGACCUCGACCAAAUAGGCGGGGCUCGCGGGCUGUGACAAAACUAGUAAAUAAAUGAUGUAAUCGAUGAUUGUAUUUGGAAGUCGAAUGUAAAAGAAAAUGAGAUGUAAAGUGCAUAUAAUGGGAAUGCUUCUAAUAGCUUUAGUUGUUUUAUGCUUUUGAUACUUCCUUAUGCAAUCUUUGAUUGAAAUGUGUUCUUGGUUGGAACUUCGUACAUUGUAUUGAUUGCGACGCCUAGAACGUACAGUGGAGACUCUGUGCACGAUACAGGGGAAACCCUGUCCGUUUGGCGGUAUGUUGGCGUGCCCGAAAUCGACCAAAGAGGCGGGCUCGGGGCGUGACACCAAGUCUCACAUUCACACAAGUAUAGGGUUCCAAUAUACAUGUCCUCUAUGGUUCAUAUCAAUCACUAUGUUCAUCUACGUUAGAAGCAUAUAAUUGAAGCCCAACCAAUAUUCACAUGUAAAUUACCCUAGUAUGCAUGAAUGACUAUUGACAUAUAUGCUCAAUAAAAGAUGAUAUUGACAUAGAAGGGAAUCCAACGAUUCCAAAGUGCACCCCCCAC